GAUGAACGCUGGCGGCGUGCCUAAUACAUGCAAGUCGAGCGAAUGGAUUAAGUGCUUGCUCUUAUGAAGUUAGCGGCGGACGGGUGAGUAACACGUGGGUAACCUGCCCAUAAGACUGGGAUAACUCCGGGAAACCGGGGCUAAUACCGGAUAACAUUUUGAACCGCAUGGUUCGAAAUUGAAAGGCGGCUUCGGCUGUCACUUAUGGAUGGACCCGCGUCGCAUUAGCUAGUUGGUGAGGUAACGGCUCACCAAGGCAACGAUGCGUAGCCGACCUGAGAGGGUGAUCGGCCACACUGGGACUGAGACACGGCCCAGACUCCUACGGGAGGCAGCAGUAGGGAAUCUCCGCAAUGGACGAAAGUCUGACGGAGCAACGCCGCGUGAGUGAUGAAGGCUUUCGGGUCGUAAAACUCUGUUGUUAAGGAAGAACAAGUGCUAGUUGAAUAAGCUGGCACCUUGACGGUACCUAACCAGAAAGCCACGGCUAACUACGUGCCAGCCGCCGCAGUAA
rnacentral:rRNA from 1 species